CUCAGAGUUGCCCUUCCCUCCUCCUCAUCCACUCACUCUCAGCCCACAUUCUGGAUGCUCACUCUGUGCUGGGUGCUAAGGGUAAACUCAGAUGCAGGUAUGCUCCAUUGCACCCUGGCAAGAAUAAGUUUAAUCUGGUGAUGGCAUGUAGCAUAAAGUGUGAAGUGGCAUAGGGAAAGAGCUACAAGAAAUUAGUAGGGAGGCUGAGAACAUCUUCCACAUGGAAUGUAAUUAGGAAUUAAACGGGAGAAGAAAGAGAAAGGACUGAUAGAUUCAGGAGCCAUUGAAGGAAAACUCAAGAAGACUUGAGGUCUGGUUCGGUGCAGAAGGACUAAAGUUUUUCAUCCUAGGUGACCUGGUGCUGAUCCCAGGGAUUGUAGCGAUUCUGGCAGCAGCUGGGCAUCUUUCCUGGGUGAGAUCCAAAUUAAGAGGAGAUUCAGCCAGGCAUGGUGUGCUCACAUGUAAUUCCAGUGACUUAGGAGGUUGAGGCAGGAGGAUCUCAAAUUUGAGGCCAGCCUCAGCAAAUUAGCAGGAUCUUCUCUCAUUUAUCAGAAAUAA